UACGGGAGGCAGCAGUGGGGGAUAUUGCGCAAUGGGGGCAACCCUGACGCAGCAACGCCGCGUGAAGGAUGAAGGUUUUCGGAUUGUAAACUUCUUUUGUUAGGGACGAAAAAUGACGGUACCUAACGAAUAAGCUCCGGCUAACUACGUGCCAGCAGCCGCGGUAAU
rnacentral:rRNA from 1 species